rnacentral:lncRNA from 1 species
GCCAGCCACUCACCUCUUGCUGUGCAGCCAGUUCCUAACAGAUCAUGCGCUGGUACCUGAAUGAGUGUUUAGAAUCAUCAACGUCUUUAAAGUGGUUAGCAUAUCCAGAACAAACAGUGUGUCCAGCACUGGCAUGUGCAUUGGCAUACUCUUCAAUAGAAUCCAUCCUCAUGAACGUAUACCAUAUGAUGUCAUCAGUAAAUUAAUGUGAAAAGGAGAAUUGGAUUUUCAAACCAUAAUUCUCUGGACUAAAGACACUGGGUGCCAGCGAAAGGAAAGGAGACACCUGGAAAGAAGAAGUUCACGUCGGUUUCUUUACAGAACAACUGGAGUUCUGCAAAGUCAAUGUUGGAGUAAGUACCAUUCUCUGCCAGUAUUACUAUUUUCUUUAUCAUGAGAUAUAUGUUCCUUAAAAAUGCCCACAUGAAGCUAUGCUAAGUAACAAAGUUAAAUGAUGUCUUUGUUUUAUAGAAUAAUACAAGACAAAUAGAAUCAAUUGUUAUUAUAUGAUCUUUGUAAGUACAUACACAGGUACUAGAUAUUUUAGACCCCACUUCAUACAUCUGAAAUUUGGGUCUCAAAAUAGUUAGCUUAUCUUAAAGUCUAAUGUCAGAUUACAGAACUACCUCUUUCCACAAUAUUGUGCUAUCUCCCUUUAAGAACCAGCUGGUGAAUCAUUAAGAACAAAAAAUGUCCUUUUCUUGAACAUCUCCACGGUGAGCCAAAUAUAUAAAUUUUCUGUGGAGAUGUUGUCAUGGGCAAUUUCACCAAAACUUUUACAAAUUUAACCACAGUUAUGCUUCAGUGGCAUAACUGUUUAUCCAAUACCUGCACACCUGCUUUAAUACGGAAAAAUUUGGAAGUUAAUACAAAUAUUAACUCCUAUCAUUAUAGACAUGACAUCUGAAGACACUUUCCAAUAUUCCAUGAAUAUGUGUAAUUCAUAUCUCAGUACAGUCUCCCACAUGUCAAUGUAAUCUUAGUAGCAGUGGAUCAUUUACAGAAGGCAAUUUUGCCACAGUGGUCAAAUAUUUUUGUUAAAUACUGCUAUUUUAGAGUUAUCGAUAGCAUUAACUGACACACAGUGUAAGCUAGAACCAUGUUUCUAAAGAAAAUGUUCAGAAAUAGGUUUCUUACUUUUUGCUAAAUUGCUAACAGGUUAAUUACUCCUGUGAAGUGCUAGAUAGUUGGAGUAGCAUUUACCAAGAAAGAGAAAGAAGACGGGGCAUAUGACUUGAGAAGGUGGGAGUGAGGAAAAGAUAAGGUAUUUAUUCCAGACUCCUUAUUUGGAGUUCUUUGUUUGAUUCUUUUCUUUUUGUUGCUGUUGUUAUUGUCUUACUUUAUGUUAUGUGUCAGACCAGAGUUUCACAAACAUCCCCAAAUAAUUACAUGGGUCAUAAAAAUAUAUCCAGAUACUUCUCAUUAUUUUCCAUCAAAAUCCUGGUUCAAUAAUUUGAAAUAAGACCUGGAGAACCAACAAUUCUCACGAGUAUGCUAAGUGAUUGUUACCAAAAUGACAAUUGUGAAAUAUUUAGAAAACCAGGGAGGAGGUAGGUAAUCAACAUUUAAUAAUUGGUUCUUGCUGUAAGGGUAAAGGAUUUUAUUGAAAUGACUAUUUAAAUUCAAGUUUUAUGAAAAAAAUAGAAUGGAGCACUUUAGUGCUUUCUAAUAAGCAUCUGUAAAGUAUGUUUUGCUAAACUGGCAAAAUUAUUUUUUCAUUAGAGGUUAGCAUUAUGGCCACAAAUGACUUCUGAAAUAGCUUUUUGAAAAUAUUCAGAUCAUAAAUUAUAAAAAUUAUCUUGGGGGUUUAUAAAAUUCCAGAAAUUCACUAAGAAAAAUAUACAUAAAAACACCAGUAUCCAAAAAAAUCAAAAUAACACUUACAAAUAGACAAGAAAAUAUAAAGACAAUCUAGCCGAGUAAAAGAAAGCAGGACAGGUAAAUGGAUACAUUUUAGAAAAGAGAAAUGUCAAAUGACCAGUGAAAAAUGGCUAGAUGCUUGAGCUCAUUAGUAAUCCAGGGAUAUAAAUCAAAACCACAUUAUGUUCCAACUUUUGUUCAUUAGCUUGGCAACUAUUAAAUUAAUAAUACCGAGUGUAGUCAAAGGUGUAAGGAAUGGUAAUUUGGUUCCAUCAAUCACAGGACUAUCUAAUGAUAUUUAGUAAAAUUAGAGUGACUAAAACUUUUGUUGUUCCAGUGGAAACUUUUUUUAGAAUAAAGAGUAGUAACAUAUACAAAAUUAUUUACUAUUUAUUACAUUUUUCCUUACAGUCAAUUUUUUUAUUGUAUUGAUGGAUCUAUGAAAUAGUUAUCUUCCAACUGUUUUUGAAAAUGAAAUCCCUUCAAAAAUUGAAAACCACAAAUACAUAUCUUGAAGCAAAAUAGAAAAAUAACUUAUUUACAUUUAUUAUUUAAAUAUUAAAAACAGUAGGCAGAAUAAUUAU